AGCUUUGUAGCUUAGUGGUAAAGCAGGCACCUAGAGUAAGCCCAACCCGGGUUUGAGUCCUGGUGGAGCCA
rfam:Puccinia triticina 1-1 BBBD Race 1 supercont2.9795, whole genome shotgun sequence.